rnacentral:rRNA from 1 species
UACGUAGGUGGCAAGCGUUGUCCGGAUUUACUGGGCGUAAAGAGCGCGCAGGCGGUCGUUCAAGUCGCGUGUGAAAGCCCCCGGCUCAACUGGGGAGGGUCACGCGAUACUGAUCGACUCGAAGGCAGGAGAGGGUAGUGGAAUUCCCGGUGUAGAGGUGAAAUUCGUAGAUAUUCGCAAGAACACCGGUGGCGAAGGCGGCCAACUGGACCAUUACUGACGCUGAGGCGCGAAAGCGUGGGGAGCAAACAGG